rnacentral:lncRNA from 1 species
GCGGAAGGGGCGUGGCUCAUUUUUGAAAUACACUGGUUUCAGUGUAUAGCGACUGCAUAUAGCAGUCUGGAUGCAAAAUUUGGUGGCUCUAGCUCUUAUAGUCUCUGAGAACUAGCCGACAAACACGACGGACAGACAGACAUGGCUCUAUCGACUCGGCUAUUGAUGCUGAUCAAGAAUAUAUAUACUUUAUGGGGUCGGAAACGCUUCCUUCUGUGCGUUACAUACAACCGUUAUUCGCACAAAUACAAUAUACCCUAUUUACUCUUCGAGUACUGGGUAUAAAAAGAAACAAAAAUGUGUAGAUACCGAUGAAUAACGAGAAGGGACGUGUGAGAUGCUUCUUUCGCGUCACAACUUUUAUACCUGGCACUCAGUACUACAUCUGCACCUUAGCGGUUAUUUGUCAAGUUUUACAUUUGUUCUUCAUCUGUCAUCUACAUCAACAACACUACUCACGCCAACACGCUCCUUCACCUCGCUCCCCUUCCCUACACCCACACACUGCAGACUCUCAGCAGAGACAGUGGCCGCACACCGCAGAAGCAGAGUGUGAAUGAGAGAAU